GUUGUAUUCCCUCCGUCCCAAAAUUCUUGUCUUAGAUUUGUCUAGAUAUGAAUGUAUCUAAUACUAAAACAUGACUUGAUACAUCCGUAUUUAGACAAAUGUAAGACAAGAAUUUUAGGACGGAGGGAGUAGUAG
rnacentral:pre_miRNA from 1 species